GACAGAGGUGCCGAGCGUUAGGCGGAAUCACUGGGCUUAAAGCGUGUGUAGGCGGGCGGGCAAGUACCUUGUGAAAUCCCACGGCUCAACCGUGGAACGGCUGGGUAUACUGCCUGUCUUGAGCCAACUAGGGGCGAGCGGAACAGACGGUGGAGCGGUGAAAUGCGUAGAUAUCCGGAGGAAUACCAAAGGCGAAGGCAGUGUCCUGGCUGGCAUCUGACGCUGAGGCGCGAAAGCUAGGGGAGCGAACAGG
rnacentral:rRNA from 1 species